UGCCAGCAGCCGCGGUAACACGGGGGGCGCAAGCGUUAUUCGGAAUUAUUGGGCGUAAAGGGCGCGUAGGCGGACUGUUAAGUCUGAUGUGAAAGCCCGGGGCUCAACCCCGGAAGUGCAUUGGAUACUGGCAGUCUUGAGUAUGGGGGAGGAAAGUGGAAUUCCGAGUGUAGGAGUGAAAUCCGUAGAUAUUCGGAGGAACACCAGUGGCGAAGGCGGCUCACUGGCUCGAUACUGACGCUGAGGUGCGAAAGUGUGGGGAGUAAACAGGAUUAGAUA
rnacentral:rRNA from 1 species